GCAGGGCCGCGGGGGCGCUCGUGGGGUCCGCCCCGGCGGGGAGGCGACCGCCCCCCCCCCGUCCCCACCCCGAGAAGCCGCGGGGAUGCCCCGAAGAGCCCGAGAUGGGCGCGCACCGCAGCGAGAAGGGGCCGAUCCCUGCCGGUGACCGGGCAAAGCCAUCGACCUCCUCCUAAGGGCGCGGGACUCGAGGUUACACCUGCAGUGCUGGCCCUAAGGGUUAUGUGCUGAGUAAUGACCUCAAACUCUGAACAGGUGUGCAAACAAGGUCUGUGAUGUUUACGAGAGGCUCUUCUUGUGACAAAAGACAGAGAAGAAAUGCGUGCCAACUUGUAGAGACGUGUACCACCCCGGCGACGGCUGGCAUGUGUCCCCUCCGCUCGUCCACUCACAUUCGGACUCUGUCUACACUGCACUGGACACGGGACUGGGAAGGCUCGCUUUUGCACAUUGUUGUUGAAAGUUGGUGGCUUUCAAAGGUCUCUGUCCACCGAAAUCAUCUGGGGGCUGACCCCCAGGCCCUACCCUGGACCGACUCAGUCUGCAUCUGAGCGCUGGUAUUUUGUUUGCUCCCCACGGGUGGGUCUGCAGUGCAGCCGGACUUCGAGACCCGCUGGUUUCGUAUCAGUUGACUUUGACAAAAGCUUCCAAGGACAGAUUUUCUUCUUCUCAUUUUGAGACGUCUGUCUGCAUCAAGCGUUGAUGCUCUCGAGGCCUGGCUUGCCUGUGGAGGUGGGUUCGGGGCGUGUGGAGGACCCUGGGAGGCACAGUGGCCGAGUGGCUGGAGAAAUGGAGUCACCUCGGGGCCAGCAGCCAGCUGGGCAAGGUCACGGCAAGUACCAGGCAGGCCCAGAGCUCCUGCGCGGGCCCAGCGGGCAACCUGCUAGCUGCCGGGGACAGGGAGAGGGAUGCAAGCUUGGCUUCUGCUUGAGGAGACCUUGGGUCACUUGCUUCACAUCCUUGCUCCUGGAUUGCACCGGGGAAUUGGCUAGAAGUACAAAUUGCUGCCCCCCCCACCCCCCGAGCUACUGACUCAGAAUCCUGGGCUGGAGGGUACAGCAAGCUGUGAUUUGACAGGCCUCGGGGGGAUGCUGAGGCCUACUCCAGUCUGAGAGCUACUAGGCGAGGUCUCUGACCUGGGUUGUAGGACACAAGCCUCCAGAGCAUCAGUUUCUUUAUCCAUAGGAUGAGGUGGCGAAUCCAUAUUCCAUAGGAUGAAAGAAGAGGAUGGGUAUAAGGCUUGCAGAAUUACCUGGACAGCAGUAACUACAACAACAACACGUUUAGUAUGUUGUUUUGUUUUUUUGUUUUUUUUUGCCACCUGCCUCCUUGCUACCUGCUCUAUCUAGAUAAUCUGAGUUAAUGCCCACAUGAGGGCUACUGUCGGCCUCUUUGUGCAGGUGAGGAAGUGAGGUACAGAGGCCCAAGGGCACCGCCAGAGCACUCCAGGGCCGGGGCUCUGCACUGACCCCCUCCCUCCCACCGCAGCACCUGGGUCCACUGGAGAAAGGCGAGACUGAGCCAUAAGCACAACCCACGAGAGGGUAAGGUACUGAAUCUCCCAGUCCACCACCUCCCCUCUCCCAGUAAGACGGAUAAAGAGGGAACAGGAUUUCUAUCCCAUCUACAGGACCCCUUUAUCUGGAAGACCAGAGUCUUGGAACAAGACCAAGUGAGAGAGGGAAAUGCGAGAAGCGGGCUGGAAGGGGGAGCUGAAGGUCUGGCGCAUCUCCAUCCCUGGACGAAAACCGUGGAAGAUUUAUGUAAAAAUAUAUCAGUGCUGUGCCCCGACAGGAACCAGAACAAACAAGCCGAUGAAAGGCUCCUCAGAGCAUGGGAACCGCACCAGCAGAGAGGCAGCUGAGACCUGAGGAUGAGCUGGGGUGCGGAGAUAGACAGAUGGGGGUGGGGUGGGGCAGGGACUUCCCCUCUGCCCCUUGCUGCUGUGCGACCCUGCGCCGGUGCCCUGGCCUCUCUGAGCCUCAGGGCCUCAACUCUGCAGUGUGUGAAGUGUUUUUCAGCUGUUAUCGUACUGAAUUCUUAUAAUUACUGGGAUACAAGCUCCACUUGCAACACAGCCUGGCUCAACCAUCACUGGGCCCAGAUUGACUAAGACCAGUGAUUCCUAGAAGCCAACUGAAGAGAGAGUGUCACCAAGGAAGCAAUGAUUAACAUCCAAUGAGUUUGUUAGAUUGAAAUAAAACAAGACUGUGGAGCAGCAGUUGGGUACAGCAAUGUGCAGGCCACUGAUGCCAUGACAAUGGUUCUUUGGUGAAUUGGUGGAGAGGAAAUUCUGACAGAUUGGAGUGAAAGACAGCUGCCUGGGUUCAGGGGGAGAGUGGAAGUGACGAGGAUUAAACCAGGACUGGAGUUAUUCCAGGAGCAGGUGAGGAAGUGGUCCAAAGAAGCAGAAGAGCAUAGAACUGGAAGGAAAACUAAAUAUAAUUUCAUCCGCAUGAGCAGGAGCUGAUUCGUCAGUGAACCCACACAUUUAACUGAGAACCUUCCUUGUGUUUAAGAAUAAAGUAGAGGAGACUUGUGCAUGUGAAACUGGACCCCGUCUUUGGUUAUUUCCAUUGGUGACUCAACCUUUCCAAUUCUCUAUGAUUUGACCAUUAUU